GAUAGUUCAGAAAUUGUUAGGAGAGGAUGGAAAAGAUACAAUUUGAGCUUAGGUUUGGGUCUCAACAAAGUUGCAGGGAAGGUAUUCAGAAUAGGGCAUCUUGGCAACCUGAAUGAGUUACAGGGUUGUCUUGCUGGAGUGGAGAUGAUACUCAAGGACGUGGGUUACCCUGUUAAGCUGGGGAGUGGAGUAGCAGCAGCCUGUGCUUACCUACAGAACAACACCC
rnacentral:misc_RNA from 1 species